UUUUUUUUUGUUAUUCCCCCCUUCAGCUUUUACUGUUCAUAUGUGAGCAUGUGAGCUCGAGACUAGAAACUCAAUGUCCAUGCCACAUUUCUACCAAUAUUACUAUUCAUCAUCCAAGGUGCAGAAUAACUUAUUCUUCACCCGAGAUAAACUUUCGAUCACUUUAUAAACAAAUUACGUUUGGAAUACAAAUAUUUACAUUCAUAUUGAUUCACUACGUAAAAUUUGGUAUAAAAAAACAGAAAAAAGGUUAUAAGACCACAAAUAUCGUAUUUUAUGUAUGUUUUACACUAUGUUUUUACAUUCGUAAUUUUACGUAACAUAAAAUAUUUUAAUUUUACGUAACAUAAAAUAUUUUUUACGACGAGUAUAUAUAUUUUCUUACGUUCUCUUUUUACGUAUGAAAUAAGACACAAUUUACGAAACCUAAAAAUACGAUUCAUUGAUGCCUAAAUAGAGAGGGGGUGAAGAAUAAUUAUUUCUCACCCAGGGUGAUAUAUAUUUUGCCUGUUUCUUACCGUUGUGAAGUUCAUGUGAGAUUUAAACAGAUCAAAGUUCACACAAAGCAGGUAAAAAAAGAACAAAGAAACAAACGAAUCACACUGUUCAGCAAGAUACAAACCGAUCCAAAAAAAGGAAGAACCGGUAACUGUCCGGUAAACACAUUUUACACAAGGCGCAGCAGCCUGAACCAUCAACCUGCCGCCUCUCAAGACGAAUAGAACUAACGGCAGCACUAGCUUUAGUACAGUAUAAGUAUCACACCAUCACCAUCACUCUAACCUACAAGGCCCCCCUGGACCCGGGUCACCUGACGUACGUACGUGUUAGCUGGCUGCUUCAGUUCAGUGUGCCUCGCUCGCUCGUCGCUACAGAUACUGCGUGUGUAUCCGGUCCCGGUUCUGCUCCCACCACACCUUGGCCCGCUCCUCGCCGAACCGCUCCCGGCUGCAACCACACACACCAC
rnacentral:lncRNA from 1 species